UGGGGAAUAUUGCACAAUGGGCGCAAGCCUGAUGCAGCCAUGUCGCGUGUAUGAAGAAGGCCUUCGGGUUGUAAAGUACUUUCAGCGGGGAGGAAGGGAGUAAAGUUAAUACCUUUGCUCAUUGACGUUACCCGCAGAAGAAGCACCGGCUAACUCCGUGCCAGCAGCCGCGGUAAUACGGAGGGUGCAAGCGUUAAUCGGAAUUACUGGGCGUAAAGCGCACGCAGGCGGUUGAUUGAGUCAGAUGUGAAAUCCCCGGGCUUAACCCGGGAAUUGCAUCUGAUACUGGUCAGCUAGAGUCUUGUAGAGGGGGGUAGAAUUCCAUGUGUAGCGGUGAAAUGCGUAGAGAUGUGGAGGAAUACCGGUGGCGAAGGCGGCCCCCUGGACAAAGACUGACGCUCAGGUGCGAAAGCGUGGGGAGCAAACAGG
rnacentral:rRNA from 1 species